AUUGAACGCUGGCGGCAGGCCUAACACAUGCCUGUCGAGCCAGCGGCGGACGGGUGAGUCAUGUCUGGGAAACUGCCUGAUGGAGGGGGAUAACUACUGGAAACGGUAGCUAAUACCGCAUACCAUCAGAUGUGCCCAGAUGGGAUUAGCUAGUAGGUUGGGUACCGGCUCACCUAGGCGACGAUCCCUAGCUGGUCUGAUAGGAUGACCAGCCACACGGGAACUGGGACACGGUCCAGAUUCCUACGUGAGGCAGCAGGGGGAAAGAGUGCGCAAUGGGGGCAACCGUGACGCAGCCAUGCCGCGUGAAGGAAUAAGGCCUUCGGGUUGUAAAGUUCUUUCGGUGACGAGGCGUUAAUCACAGAAGAAGCACCGGCUAACUCCGUGCCAGCAGCCGCGGUAAUUC
rnacentral:rRNA from 1 species